GGAUUAGAUACCCUGGUAGUCCACGCCGUAAACGAUGUCUACUAGCCGUUGGGGAACUUGAUUCUUUAGUGGCGCAGCUAACGCACUAAGUAGACCGCCUGGGGAGUACGGCCGCAAGGUUAAAACUCAAAUGAAUUGACGGGGGCCCGCACAAGCGGUGGAGCAUGUGGUUUAAUUCGAUGCAACGCGAAGAACCUUACCUGGUCUUGACAUCCACAGAACUUUCUAGAGAUAGAUUGGUGCCUUCGGGAACUGUGAGACAGGUGCUGCAUGGCUGUCGUCAGCUCGUGCCG
rnacentral:rRNA from 1 species